AUUGACCCUUAGAAUUUGAUCCUGGCAUCAGGGAUGAACGAGGGCGACGUGCUUAACACAUACAAGUAGAAGGAAGCACUUUAUUUGAUUUCCUUCGGGACUGAUUAUUUUUGAUAUAGUGGCGGACGGGUGAGUAACGAGUGGGUAACCUGCCUUUUACAAGGGGAUAACAGUUGGAAUCGGCUGGUAAUACCGCAUAAGCGCACAGCAUCGCAUGAUGCAGUGUGAAAAACUCCGGUGGUAUAAGUAUGGACCCGCGUUGGUCUAGUUAGUUGGUGAGGUAACGGCCCACCAAGGCGACGAUCCAUAGCCGUCCUGAGAGGGUGGCCGGCCACAUUGGGAGUGAGACACGGCCCAAACUCCUACGGGAGGCAGCAGUGGGGAAUAUUGCACAAUGGGCGAAAGCCUGAUGCAGCGACGCCGCGUGAGCGAAGAAGUAUUUCGGUAUGUAAAGCUCUAUCAGCAGGGAAGAUAAUGACGGUACCUGCCUAAGAAGCACCGGCUAAAUACGUGCCAGCAGCCGCGGUAAUACGUAUGGUGCAAGCGUUAUCCGGAUUUACUGGGUGUAAAGGGAGCGCAGGCGGUGCGGCAAGUCUGAUGUGAAAUCCCGGGGCUCAACCCCGGUACUGCAUUGGAAACUGUCGUACUAGAGUGUCGGAGGGGUAAGCGGAAUUCCUAGUGUAGCGGUGAAAUGCGUAGAUAUUAGGAGGAACACCAGUGGCGAAGGCGGCUUACUGGACGAUAACUGACGCUGAGGCUCGAAAGCGUGGGGAGCAAAAAGGAUUAGAUACCCUGGUAGUCCACGCCGUA
rnacentral:rRNA from 1 species